GAUGAACGCUGGCGGCGUGCCUAAUACAUGCAAGUCGAGCGAAUGGAUUAAGAGCUUGCUCUUAUGAAGUUAGCGGCGGACGGGUGAGUAACACGUGGGUAACCUGCCCAUAAGACUGGGAUAACUCCGGGAAACCGGGGCUAAUACCGGAUAACAUUUUGAACCGCAUGGUUCGAAAUUGAAAGGCGGCCUCGGCCGUCACUUAUGGAUGGACCCGCGUCGCAUUAGCUAGUUGGUGAGGUAACGGCUCACCAAGGCAACGAUGCGUAGCCGACCUGAGAGGGUGAUCGGCCACACUGGGACUGAGACACGGUCCAGACUCCUACGGGAGGCAGCAGUAGGGAAUCUUCCGCAAUGGACGAAAGUCUGACGGAGCAACGCCGCGUGAGUGAUGAAGGCUUUCGGGUCGUAAAACUCUGUUGUUAGGGAAGAACAAGUGCUAGUUGAAUAAGCUGGCACCUUGACGGUACCUAACCAGAAAGCCACGGCUAACUACGUGCCAGCCGCCGCUGUAA
rnacentral:rRNA from 1 species